rnacentral:rRNA from 1 species
GACGGAGGGUGCUAGCGUUGUUCGGAAUGACUGGGCGUAAAGGGCGCGUAGGCGGCUCGUGAAGUCGGGUGUGAAAGCCCGGGGCUCAACCCCGGAACGGCAUCCGAUACUGGCGGGCUUGAGACCGGGAGAGGAGGGUGGAAUACCCAGUGUAGAGGUGAAAUUCGUAGAUAUUGGGUGGAACACCGGUGGCGAAGGCGGCCUGCUGGGACAUGGCUGACGCUGAGGCGCGACAGCGUGGGGAGCAAACAGG